AGGCAGAAUAAAGAAGACCACAGCUUGCGAGCCAUGAUCUUGCCUUUCUCAAGAAAAAGAAGCUCAGAGUGAGGCAGGAAAACUGUCACAGCACUCAGCCCUGAAACUGAACUGGUCCUUAAGGAAGCGCAGCAGGCCAAGCCACCACAAGGUACCUCUCAUUGAUUCUGUGACCCACUUCCACAUGAAGGAAGAGGCCCAGGGAUGAUUCAUCCACACUAAGCCUGGGACUGGCACAAGCUCUGUCCAUGGGGCACCACAUGGCAGGAUGGGGGCUGCUGCCACGUAGACAUGAGCAGGUCAGAGCACUGGAACAAAAGGAAAAUGGAGCCAACUUCUGCCCCUCUGAUCCAGGCCGCACAGAACAUCAAGGAAAGAUCUCUUUCUUCUUUUAUCUCUGCUAACAAAGCUCCACAGAGCUGACACCCUGCAAUGACUGAGACUAGUUUAGCAGCUAAAAGAGAGACUGUACUCAGUGGUAAUCUGUGAUGUUGAGGUUCUUAUUAUAUGAAAAGUUUGGGUGAGACUGCCAAGCAUAACAGCCGUGUGGAGUGGAGAGAGGGGGCGAGCUGGCUGGGACCUGAAGCAUGUUCAGACGCAGAGAUAUUUCUGAGAUUAGGAGGGAAUCACAAGGGGGGGCUGCCAGUCAUCUGAUCUUGCCAGCACCAUCCAGAAGUCCUUUGCCCUGGGAGUGUGGCCGAAGGAAAUGUUACACUCUUGCUACAUACUACAAGAUGUUGACACAUCAAAGUUGUGUUCCUGCCUUUUUUUUUUUUUUUUUUUGGCGACUGGCAGUUUUCCAGCAUGCACUGGAAAGCAAGUCACCCCUUCUCCAUCACGCUUGACAUAACACAAAAGACUAAGCAACUUACUAUGAAUGAAACCUAGAAUGAAAUAAGUUUGAGACACAAAGAAUAACUGGUUUUAAUGUGCGUUUCCUCUGUGUGGGUGGUUCUUUUAGCUACAGUUAGUGUGGAGGAGCUAAUUGAUGUUUGUCAGCUCGCCUCAGAGCGGCUUCCAGAGGCAAACUGGGCCACAUUCCUCCGGGAUCUCUAUGGCAGCUGCACAGGGGGACUCCAAAAGUCUGCUUCACUCACAACAGUCAGUUCUGCCUUUCAGAAUAUGGACAGACUGUCUUGGUUAAACACAGCUCAGAUCAGAAGUUGUUUCUCUGGGAAACUUUCUCUGAGUGCAGCCCUAGGUCUCCGCUGUGAGCCGUCAUCCCGCUACCUUCAGAGAAAGAAUGAGGCAGCCAAUUAUUAACCAGGACCCCAGGGUGGCUAGCAGCAUUCAUGCCUGUUGAGCUGGCAGAGGAACACGAGGACUACUGAAGCGUAUUACCAACCACAGAGUGCAUGUCUGUGUGCACUGAGAUUAAAGGCAACUGGGCUUAAAUGCAUGUGCGCAACAGAUGUCAAGGCUGAUACAGAGUUUUUUCAUCAGUACUCAAAGAUGUAGUGGAGUGUAAACUCACCUAAAAUCAACUUACCAGCCUUUUUAUUCACAGAAUAUUGUUUAUUUAGGGCUGCCAUAAUGUUUUAUGAUAUAAAAGUAUACCUUACAGUGUAAUAAAAUAAACUGAAAUCACGUUACUAAGGCAAGAGCCAUUUAACAUAGAGCUGAGUCCUAUCUUGUUUUCCUAGGCCCAAUCUAGUCUAAUCUCAGCCCUGCAAUAAAUCCUACAUUCAUGAAGGCUGUAAUGUUCAGUUUUAGGGGGUAACAACAGGUUCCAAUCUGAUGUUUAACAUAAAUCUCUGACUGUACCAACCAUUUUAAAUGAAAUCUGUACUUUGAACAAGUAGAACUGCAAAGCUGUACAUGUUAGAAAAUGACUAGAUAAGAUGGAGGGUUUUUGCAGUGUGUCACUAUUUGCUAUUAAACCAAGUUACUGAAUAUCGGUGACACAAAAUGAUAGGUGAUUACAGUUUACUCACCUUUACAUCACUGCCUACACUUAUAAAAGUAGGUGCAUGGCUGCACCCAGAGAGGAAAGCCGUUGCUUACCAACCUUAACUGACACUAUAGAGGCUUGUUUGUACAAAGCACACAAAAACCUGUGGCUAAGGUGGUGGAAAAAACUGUAUUCCCAGCCGAGAGAGCAGCAAGCUUAGGCAUGGCUAGCUUCAAACAGUGAAGACAAUAAGUUGGACAGGGUGCAACAGGGAAAAACAAUGGAAGCCAUUCAGCUGCAGAAGGUCAAACGUAUGGGUGUGACUGAUUAAAGAAGGGUCGGUGUUCUACAAAAGCUAAUAACAGCUUGGCUGUUCUCUGCAUGAAAGAGAGGAAGUGAUAAAUAAUGUUGGUUCCCUGGAUAAGACACACUUUUCUAAACAGUGAUGUCCAUUCUUUUCAUCAACUCGACAGUAUUACUUUUUGUGGGGAUUUUUUUUUUCAUGAAUAAUCCAUCCAACUUUUUUUCAGUUUAAAAAAGGUUGAUUCAACUGACCCGUUAUGGAUCCCUUGUAUUACUAAAGUUUCCUC